rnacentral:lncRNA from 1 species
GUGAGGUUGGUCUCCCACAACACAACAAUUUCAAGACAAGGGAACCAGGCUUUCUGUGCAAGUGCAAUGCUGCCUCCAGUCCCAGGACAGUACUCUCAGGUGGCUCCUCUCCACCUCUGACAUUAGGGUUACCCAGAGAGAGGACAUGGCUGUCAACAGGCAAGAGAGAAAUGGGCAAGGGCUGCCCUAUGACAGGAUGGAGUCAGGACAGGGGUCUAGGGAGCAGGUAUGCUGGUGAGUCACCAGAAAGCCAGGCUGGAUGUCUCAGGAAACUUCAGCCAUCACUGCAGCCUCUUACUCUGUCCCCAGGAUUUCUCUCUACAGGGUUGCAGCAUGAGUGAGGCUGAGCUGCAGCAAGGGUCAGGAACAAGCCAGAGAUUUUUUUUUUUUUUUAAAUCAGGAUUCUUUGGUUUUUCUCAUGAACUUCUCAGACUCCAAGUCCGGUCCUACAAACAGGUAAGGCAAAGAUUCAAAAGAAAAAUCUGCUCUGAGUACAUGAAUUUUCACCAAGAGUAAAUCAAUGGUUCUUAACUGUGGCUGACUGUGUCUCCCAAGAGACAUUUGGCAAUGUCUGGAUCUACCUGAGGCUGUCACACAGGGGGCUGGGGAUGACUGUCCAGGGAUGCUGCUGGACAUCCGACAACACACAGGACAGCCUGCUUCAGCAAAGAACUAUCCUGCCCGAAUGCCUGCAGUGCUGAGGGUGAGAAACGGAGGCCUGAGCCCAGCUGAGCCGCAUGGAACCCUGACCUUACUGGUACAACAAGUACAACGGCUCUCAGUGCAGUAAGGCAAAGGACACCGGAGCAGCAGAGGCUUGACACUUGAUUUCCAGUUCUGACUUGAUGAAGGGUUUGGAGCUCGUGGAAAGUCAUUUGCCAUCUAUAGUCCCUUUUCCUUCCUUGAACUAGAGCAGCCAUGUGAUGGGACCAGGUCUU